rnacentral:rRNA from 1 species
GACGAACGCUGGCGGCGUGCUUAACACAUGCAAGUCGAACGGGGUUAUCAAGCGGAAAGCUUCGGCCGGAAGCUUGGUAAUCUAGUGGCGAACGGGUGAGUAACGCGUGAGUAACCUGCCUCAAACAGGGGGAUAACACUUGGAAACAGGUGCUAAUACCGCAUAAGACCACAGUGCCGAGUGGCACAGGGGUCAAAGCUCCGGCGGUUUGAGAUGGACUCGCGUCUGAUUAGCUAGUUGGUGAGGUAACGGCUCACCAAGGCGACGAUCAGUAGCCGAGCUGAGAGGCUGAUCGGCCACACUGGGACUGAGACACGGCCCAGACUCCUACGGGAGGCAGCAGUGGGAAUAUUGGCACAAUGGGGGAAACCCUGAUGCAGCGACGCCGCGUGAGUGAAGAAGUAUUCGGUAUGUAAAGUUCUAUCAGCAGGGAAGAAAAUGACGGUACCUGACUAAGAAGCACUGGCUAAAUACGUGCCAGCAGCCGACGG